GCAAAGAUGUGCCUCUUACUCACCCAAUAGAGAGGAGAGGACAAAAGAAUCGCCAUCAGAAUGAGAGGGAGAAGAACAUACCUAUGGGUGGAACCAUGUCUGUAAUGGGGCAUCUGUGAAGCAAAAUAUGAUGCGCCUAUGCCCCAUGUCAGGGCUGUUCCAAUGGGCACCAUCAAGUUGGAUAUCACCUUAAAGAUGACAAGCUCUAGAUUCAUUGCCCUGUUCUUCGAAGAGAAGAGGAGGCACAAAAAGCACACCUGACACUUGGAGACCCGUCACUCAAGCCAAGACCAGCUGAAAGUGCCGUGAACGUUCCUCUGUGGCAUUCUUGUCCCAACGGUUUUAAUCUAUAAACCAUAGAUUGAGGUUUUUUCCUCUGGAACCACAGCCCACAAUAUUUUGGCUUAAGUAGAAAUCACUCUGUGGAAGUAGGAAACAGUCAUUUUAAUCCACUUGUAUAAAUUGGUAGCAGAGGUUGUAAAGGAUGGCUGGAUACCAUCAGCAAGCCAGUCAAACCACAUACAAAGCACAUGAAGAAUGACUCAAGCUAAUCAGGAACAUUUAACUAUCCUUUCAUAAAGUCUCUUUGGGCUUUGGACAUUGCAACCUGCUAAUACUGGACUGGUAUAUGAUAAAGCUCUGUUUAUAGCACGCUAGACCAAAAGCUUGAAGUUGUUUCAGGGCACCAGUGUGCUAACUGCAAGCCUGAUUAUUGUAGCGAGUCUCCUGCUCGACUUCAGUGGAGGCAUUUUGGAUUUAAAUGACUCAGGGUCUAGUUCUUCAGAGAGAAAAAAAAACCUUCAUUCAGCCUGAUCCUGUACCAGUGAAGUCAAUGGGAGUUUUGACACAUUUCCAGUGGGAGCAAGAUCAAAAUCCAUGAGAGAUUUUCACUUUAAAUCUUACCUCCCCUUCCAAGUUAUAUUAUUUUUUAAUGCAACCUUCGUGGUGAAGUUGACUUUUUGUUUUGCUUUUUAAAGGUCCUGAUUCAGCAAAGCGCAAGCCAGCCUGUGCUUAAAAUCCAUUGUCUCCAACAGGACUCAUGCACAUGCUUAAGUGUGUGACUGAAUUUGGGCCUAACUUGGGUUUUGAUUAAUAUUAAACUUUUAAGAACAAGUAUCUGUCAGUGCUGGGAACAGACCCUGAAGUUUGAUUCCCAAGGCCUUCUUUCCACUCACUUUAAUGGCUUUUGGAUUAGUCCCCCAAUGUCCUGAACUACCUAUCAGACAAUAUUUCCUUCCAUAAAAAUGCUUCAGAGAUUGGGAAAACUAGUUACAUUAGAUGCGACUCAGAUCACAGACAUUUAGAAAAUGCAAACCUUGCAUGGAAAUAGCCUU